AAGUAGCUUAGUAGUAGAGCAUUUGCCUAGCAUACACAAAGCUCUGGGUUCAAUCCCCAGUACUUG
rnacentral:tRNA from 1 species